rnacentral:rRNA from 1 species
UACGAAGGGGGCUAGCGUUGUUCGGAAUCACUGGGCGUAAAGCGCACGUAGGCGGAUCUUUAAGUCAGGGGUGAAAUCCCGAGGCUCAACCUCGGAACUGCCUUUGAUACUGGGGAUCUCGAGUCCGGGAGAGGUGAGUGGAACUGCGAGUGUAGAGGUGAAAUUCGUAGAUAUUCGCAAGAACACCCGUGGCUAAGGCGGCUCUCUAGUACGGUACUGACGCUGAGACGCGAAAGCGUGGGGAGCGAACAGG